UCAGACGAUGCGUCAUGCAUAUCAAUAAGCGGAGGAAAAGAAACUAACUAGGAUUCCCUUAGUAACGGCGAGUGAAGCGGGAAGAGCUCAAAUUUGAAAUCUUCAAGGUUCUACCUUGACGAAUUGUAGUUUAAAGAAUGUGUUUUCUGUUGGAGUUUUGGUAAAAGUUCUUUGGAAUAGGACAUCAUAGAGGGUGAGAAUCCCGUAUUUGACCAUUAUUUCCAGCUUUGUGAUACACUUUCAAAGAGUCGGAUUGUUUGGGAAUGCAGUCCAAAAUGGGUGGUAAAUUUCAUCUAAAGCUAAAUAUUGGCGAGAGACCGAUAGCGAACAAGUACCGUGAGGGAAAGAUGAAAAGAACUUUGAAAAGAGAGUUAAACAGUACGUGAAAUUGUCAAAAGGGAAGCGUUUGACACCAGUGUUGUUUAAUUGAAAAUCAAUUAAAAAAGGCAGGAUUUUGUGUUGUAUUGACUUUAUCAGCUUUCUGCACUCUUUUCCUGUCUUUUUUUAAUGCACUUUUCGUUUAACAAGUCAACAUCAAUUUCUUUUGUUGUAAAAGGGUCAUUGGAAGGUGGCUUUCUUUUCGGAGAAAGUGUUUAUAGCCUUUUACCUCUGCAAUCGGAGAGAUUGAGGUCUGCAGCGUAGAUCCUUCGGGGUUAGAUACAUUUGUGCUAAGUUAUAGCCUUUCAUAGACAACUUGUUGACUAUGAUCAGUCAUGUAGCUUACUCGCUUAUGCUAAUUUUACCUACGCUUAGGAUGUUGAUCUACAGAGCGAGAGU
rnacentral:rRNA from 1 species